AGGGGCAGCUAAGUGGCUUAGUAGCUAAAACACAAGACCUGGAGUCAGGGAAUCCAGCCUCAGAUAUUAAUAACUAGCUGGGUGACCCUGGGCAAAUCACUUAACCUUGGCUUCAGUUUCCUCCUCUGGAAAAUGAGGGACCUCAUAGCACCCACCUUUCAAAGUUUCUGUGAAAAUCAAAUGAGUUAAUAAUUGUCAAACUGUUAUCACAAUACCUGGCAUAUAGUAAACACUAUUUAAUGUUAUUUAUUAUUAUUAUUAUUAUAACCUUUUUGACUAACAAAUGUAUCUCUAGGAUAUUAUGGUUAUAUUUUAUUCAGUACUAUUUCUCUAGUACCUUAUAUAUUUUUGGUAACCAAAAAUAUUAGAUAUCAUUUUAGCUUCUUUUACGCUGAUAUUUAGAAAUAUCUAUAAUUUCCCUCUCUUUUGAUGAGGAAUACUGAGAGAGGGGGACUAGAAAGAUGAUGACACAGGAAACAGUUGAUGUAAGGGUCUGCGUUCAAGGUCACAACUUCCUUCUUGUUUAUCUCUGCCAGACAGCCCUAAUGGAGUCUGACCUAACAGAUGUUUGGUUGGAAUACAAGACCAGGUUGAUCUGUUUCGCUCUGGGAACAACACAGCCACAGCCCUUCUUCACCACCUAGAGAGCUGGUACUCAGUCUCCAUCUACUGAUGAACCUGUCUCACUGUUGCUGGCCUGGGCCUCUGGAUACAGAGAUUGAACACAUUCUUCCCAACAACCUUCCGAAGUUGUAAAUCUUCACAGCAGCAUGCACUGUCUCUUCUAUUUCUACUAUAUUUCCUGUUCUGUACGCAAAAGAUAGGUUGCUCACAGAAUCAUAGGAUCAUAGAUUUUGAGCUGGAUGGGAUCUUAAAAGCCAUCUUAUCCAACCUUUCCAUUUAGCUGAAAAGGAAAGAAAGGCCCUCUCCCCAAAAUCACAUAGGUAAUAAGUAGUGGAGGUGAAAUUUAAAACAGUGAGAGUAAAGGAUAAGUAAGUGUGCUACUCUGGAACAUUUAUAAUGCCAAAAAAAGUGAGGAAGAUCCCCACAGCUGUGGAAGAGGCAUGCAUGCAAAGGACAGAAGCCGGAGAUGGAUCAGCUGUCAAUCAAAGGAAAAUUCCAUUUGGAAUGUUAGCAGGAAAAGCAGUUUGGAGCCAAGCCAACAGUGACUGUUUUUCUGGUCUUUUGGCUGAUCGUGAUGACUGAAGGAAGAAGCUGGAUUUAUCUCUGGGACUUGGGAUAAUCAAGUUGGAGGUGACCUGGCUAAUUGGAAGGCAGAAGAAGAAGGACAAUAGUCCAUAUCUCUCUCUCUGACUAGCUCUGUUUCAUGCUAGUAACUGAAUUGCCAUUUCUCUCAAUAUCCUCCAACCUAAGACUCACUGUAGAUAAUAGGGAAAACCCUAUCCCUCUUACCUUAUCCUCCAUCUUUUCUGUUUUCCCUAAUAAACCCUUACUUAAGAUAAAGAGAAAAGAGUAUUUCCUCUGAAACAUCAUAGCUCACCUUGAGUGAUUUAGAAGGAGGCUGAAGAAGGGGAAGGGGAAACUGAAGGGAAGAAGAGGGUAGGAAAGGAGAUUGGAAGAGGGGAGGAAGAGAGGUUUAGAGGGAGGAAGGUAAGCAAAAGAAGAUAACUACCCGAUCUAUUAGUUAUCUAGUAUCCAUCAAAAUGCACUCUCAAAUAUCAUCUAUUACACAGCCCAGUGAGUAGACCCCCUUAUGGAACUUACUGAAAACAAGAAACAAGGAUGGCAAAGAAUCUCACAGACAGGGCAAGCAUAAAUUGUAUGGAUUUGGCAUCAAAGAGUAUAUUAGUAAGAUCAGAGAUGUUUUUGAGAGUUACUUGAUUACAGUGGGCAGUGUGGACCU